GAUUCGACUGUGUUCCGUAUUGUGCUGACAAAGUAUACGAUAUGAAGCCCUCCAUUAUAUUGAUUCUGUUCGGGUUAUUUAGUGGAGUUGUCUGUGACUUCUGGUUUACUGGGUUGACACCGGUAGUGAGGCUGGCACCGUCCUUAAGGCAGAGGCAGAUAAUGCGUAGUAUGACGUCAACAGAGAGUGCAUGGCAUGAGCAUGACGUCAAAUGAAGAGACACGGCUACGCUAGUCGUGUGACUAAUAAACAUCUACACUAA